rnacentral:rRNA from 1 species
AGAGUUUGACUAUGGCUCAGGAUGAACGCUAGCGAUAGGCCUAACACAUGCAAGUCGAGGGGCAGCACAUGAAGUAGCAAUACGGAUGGUGGCGACCGGCGCACGGGUGAGUAACGCGUAUGCAACCUGCCUACAACAGGGGAAUAACCCGUUGAAAGACGGACUAAUACCCCAUAACACAGGGAUCCCGCAUGGGAAUAUUUGUUAAAGAUUUAUCGGUUGUAGAUGGGCAUGCGUUCCAUUAGCUGGUUGGUGAGGUAACGGCUCACCAAGGCAACGAUGGAUAGGGGAACUGAGAGGUUUAUCCCCCACACUGGUACUGAGACACGGACCAGACUCCUACGGGAGGCAGCAGUGAGGAAUAUUGGUCAAUGGACGCAAGUCUGAACCAGCCACGUCGUGUGAAGGAAGACGGCCCUACGGGUUGUAAACUUCUUUUGUAGGGGAAUAAAGUGCAGUACGUGUACUGUUUUGCAUGUACCUUACGAAUAAGGAUCGGCUAACUCCGUGCCAGCAGCCGCGGUAAUACGGAGGAUCCGAGCGUUAUCCGGAUUUAUUGGGUUUAAAGGGUGCGCAGGCGGGAGAUUAAGUCGGCGGUGAAAUUUUGCAGCUCAACUGUAAAAGUGCCUUCGAAACUGGUUUUCUUGAGUGUGGAUGAAGUAGGCGGAAUUUGUGGUGUAGCGGUGAAAUGCAUAGAUAUCACGAGGAACUCCGAUUGCGCAGGCAGCUUACUAAACCAUAACUGACGCUCAGGCACGAAGGCGUGGGGAUCAAACAGGAUUAGAUACCCUGGUAGUC